GCAGGAAUCAAUUGGGUUAUAGGAUUGAAGCUUAUUGUCAUGUUAUUGUCCUCCUUAAGGACUAUUGCUAUUCAUCUUUCUUUCGUAUUGCAGAAUGCCUCCGAGAUCUAUUAUCUGUGCGCACGUUUGGCGGUAUAAAACUGGUGUUCAUGUGUAUUUAAAGUACAAUUUUUUUUAUUGUUUUCUUUUGUUGUUCAACCCUAAUUAUUGAUUUUUU